rnacentral:tRNA from 1 species
UGUAAUAUAAUGUUUAAGCAUAUGAAUUUUUGAAUUUUAAAGUGAAACUUAAUUGUUUUUAUUACAA